rnacentral:rRNA from 1 species
AGAGUUUGAUCAUGGCUCAGAACGUACGCUGGCGGCACGCCUAACACAUGCAAGUCGAACGAAGUAGCAAUACUUAGUGGCAGACGGGCGAGUAACAUGUGGGUAUCUACCCUUUGGCCUGGAAUAACACGAGGAAACUUGUGCUAAUACCGGAUAAGUCUUUACGGAGAAAGCUUUAUGCACCAUUGGAUGAGCCCGCACUUGAUUAGUUUGUUGGUAGGGUAAUGGCCUACCAAGACUAUGAUCAAUAGCUGAUUUGAGAGGAUGAUCAGCCACAUUGGGACUGAGACACGGCCCAAACUCCUACGGGAGGCAGCAGUGGGGAAUCUUGCACAAUGGAGGAAACUCUGAUGCAGCGAUGCCGCGUGAGUGAAGAAGGCCUUUGGGUUGUAAAGCUCUUUCGUCGGGGAAGAAAAUGACUGUACCCGAAUAAGAAGGUCCGGCUAACUUCGUGCCAGCAGCCGCGGUAAUACGAAGGGACCUAGCGUAGUUCGGAAUUACUGGGCUUAAAGAGUUCGUAGGUGGUUGAAAAAGUUGGUGGUGAAAUCCCAGAGCUUAACUCUGGAACUGCCAUCAAAACUUUUCAGCUAGAGUAUGAUAGAGGAAAGCAGAAUUUCUAGUGUAGAGGUGAAAUUCGUAGAUAUUAGAAA